rnacentral:rRNA from 1 species
AACGAACGCUGGCGGCAUGCCUAACACAUGCAAGUCGAACGAACCCUUCGGGGUUAGUGGCGCACGGGUGCGUAACGCGUGGGAAUCUGCCCUUGGCUUCGGAAUAACAGUUAGAAAUGACUGCUAAUACCGGAUGAUGUCGCAAGACCAAAGAUUUAUCGGCCAGGGAUGAGCCCGCGUAGGAUUAGGUAGUUGGUGGGGUAAAGGCCUACCAAGCCGACGAUCCUUAGCUGGUCUGAGAGGAUGAUCAGCCACACUGGGACUGAGACACGGCCCAGACUCCUACGGGAGGCAGCAGUGGGGAAUAUUGGACAAUGGGGGCAACCCUGAUCCAGCAAUGCCGCGUGAGUGAUGAAGGCCUUAGGGUUGUAAAGCUCUUUUACCCGGGAUGAUAAUGACAGUACCGGGCGAAUAAGCUCCGGCUAACUCCGUGCCAGCCGCCGCCGUAA